GAAGCCCUCCUGUCGGAAGGUCCCUGCUCCGGACGCCUGCCCGCUCUCCAGCUCCCGCCCUCCUGGCGAGUCCAAGAGAUGCAGCCAGCGAGGCGGGCUCAGGAUUCAGUCUCCCCCAGAGAUGCAAAGAGAUGAGGGAAAAAGCCCCACAUUAGGGGCAUUGUAGGCAGCAAAGCUCCAGGAUGGCGGGGCUCCCCUGGGUGGCCACGUCAGGCUCAGCGCUUUCUGCAGGACACGCGUGGUGGAUAUGUAGCAGCCAGCACUGGGCUUAAGUGGGAAGGGUGAUGCAAGGCCUUGUGGCGAGCCGGCCCUAGGAGUGUGGCACACUUUUUUGCCAAAAUGUAUCAGUCUGGGAAGAACUCCAAGCCCGAGAUUGAGAAAGAAAGCUUGCCUCUGGUCAGGACACGGGCUGUCAGCCUGCACCGGAGCAGAGCAGGGUGAAGUGAGCAGGGCUGGCCGGCAGGCCCCCAGGGUCGUGGUCCGGGCUCUGCCCCUCACUCACUCUACACUCUCAUGGAGCAACCACGCCCCUCUUCUCGUGCCUUCAUAUGAGACGAUCUCAGUGCUGCCCUCUUACUCCGCUGAUAUUCAUGAUCAAGAAAACGAGUCCUUGCAGGCUGAGUGACACUGGGAUUCUGGAGCAAGUAGCGGUGACACUACCGCUUCUAAAGCCUCAGGUCCUGGGCAGGAGAUUGGCGGUGAGGAGGAGAAAGGAGAGCCCCUGCCCUGGAGAACAUUCAGGAAAAGCCCUGCUUGCUCUGCCAGCCUAAUCCUGGCCAUUUGGAGCAGAGGGAGGGAGGAAAUGCCCUUCACGUCUGGUCUCUUUCCUGGCUGGCACACUUGGAGACGUUCCCUCUGCGGGCUCUUGAAGGCUCUUCGUUUUCAGGAGACACCUCAGGACGGGAGGGCAGCGGGCUUAGGCCCGGGACUGCGGGACCCACUCUCCUCCCAUGACUGCUGCAGGGGGACCUGAGCGCCGCGAGGGCUCAGCAGUGCGUCCACAUGGCCUCUGAAAGCAUCCAACAAGAGGCAGCAGGUGAAAUGGAAAAGGAACUGGUGGGGCAGGUUCUGCCACCAGCUUUGCUGGGGACUUCCACAGCUCAUGGCUUUGCAUCUCUGUUUUCUCCUCUGCAAAAUGAGGAUAAUAACACCGAGGUUGUUGUGAAGAUAUUUAGAUAUUUAAUAAGCAUAAAGGGCAUAAUAGGCAUUCAACAAGUAAAUUUGGCUGGCAGUCUUAAGAUGCUGUAGCGCCCUCGACAUCCAACUGGGGAUGGCAGGAGGAAGUGACGGCGGACGCCCUGAUUCGGGGAGCAUUUCCUGCCACAUGCCGACCCGCGCUUACUAUCUGUUGGUGGACCUUAUCUCCACAGUCCGGCUGUCAUGGACAGACGCAAUAGGCUUGCAAAAGUCAGCUGGCACGACGGAAAAAAUGAAAAAUAAAUCUUAAAACACAGCUCACUGCCAUGGCUGCCGUGAUACAAGGUGGUGCACAGGGAGGAUGGGUACAGGCAGCUCUCCAUGCUGGCCCCUGCGCUGGCCGGCCAGGAGGCUGCGGGCCGCCAGCCAGCACAGAGCCCUGGGCCGGGUGGGAAGGCUGGCCGGGCCUCUGGGCUGAGCUGACUUCCGCUCGGCCAGCCGCCGCUUCCUGCCCGUUUCUCCGAAGUCAGGAGCCGCCUUGCUCCCAGCGCUCUGGCCAUCGCACCUCUCUUC